rnacentral:rRNA from 1 species
CUCACUAGUCGAGUGACACUGCGCCGAAAAUGUACCGGGGCUAAACAUAUUACCGAAGCUGUGGAUUGUCCUUUGGACAAUGGUAGGAGAGCGUUCUAAGGGCGUCGAAGCAUGAUCGCAAGGACAUGUGGAGCGCUUAGAAGUGAGAAUGCCGGUGUGAGUAGCGAAAGACGGGUGAGAAUCCCGUCCACCGAUUGACUAAGGUUUCCAGAGGAAGGCUCGUCCGCUCUGGGUUAGUCGGGUCCUAAGCUGAGGCCGACAGGCGUAGGCGAUGGAUAACAGGUUGAUAUUCCUGUACCACCUAGUAUCGUUUUAAUCGAUGGGGGGACGCAGUAGGAUAGGCGAAGCGUGCUGUUGGAGUGCACGUCCAAGCAGUAAGGCUGAGUGUUAGGCAAAUCCGGCACUCAUAA